UAUCGCCUACGGGGGGCAGCAGUAGGGAAUCUUCCACAAUGGGCGAAAGCCCGAUGGAGCAACGCCGCGUGGGUGAAGAAGUAUUUCGGUAUGUAAAGCUCUAUCAGCAGGGAAGAAGAUGACGGUACCUGAGUAAGAAGCCCCGGCUAACUACGUGCCAGCAGCCGCGGUAAUACGUAGGGGGCAAGCGUUAUCCGGAUUUACUGGGUGUAAAGGGAGCGUAGACGGUGAGACAAGUCUGAAGUGAAAGCCCGGGGCUCAACCCCGGGACUGCUUUGGAAACUGCCUGACUGGAGUGCUGGAGA
rnacentral:rRNA from 1 species